rnacentral:rRNA from 1 species
GACGAACGCUGGCGGCGUGCUUAACACAUGCAAGUCGAGCGGAAAGGCCACUUCGGUGGUACUCGAGCGGCGAACGGGUGAGUAACACGUGAGUGAUCUGCCCUUCACUCUGGGAUAGCCACCGGAAACGGUGAUUAAUACCGGAUACGACCACUCCACGCAUGUGGUGGUGGUGGAAACUUUUUUGGGUGGGGGAUGUGCUCGCGGCCUAUCAGCUUGUUGGUGGGGUAAUGGCCUACCAAGGCUUCGACGGGUAGCCGGCCUGAGAGGGUGACCGGCCACACUGGGACUGAGACACGGCCCAGACUCCUACGGGAGGCAGCAGUGGGGAAUAUUGGACAAUGGGCGGAGGCCUGAUCCAGCAACGCCGCGUGAGGGAUGACGGCCUUCGGGUUGUAAACCUCUUUCAGCACCGACGAAGCGCAAGUGACGGUAGGUGCAGAAGAAGGACCUGCCAACUACGUGCCAGCCGCCGCUGUAA